rnacentral:rRNA from 1 species
GCAGCUACACAUGCAAGUCGAACGGUAACAGGAAGCAGCUUGCUGCUUCGCUGACGAGUGGCGGACGGGUGAGUAAUGUCUGGGAAACUGCCUGAUGGAGGGGGAUAACUACUGGAAACGGUAGCUAAUACCGCAUAACGUCGCAAGACCAAAGAGGGGGACCUUCGGGCCUCUUGCCAUCGGAUGUGCCCAGAUGGGAUUAGCUAGUAGGUGGGGUAACGGCUCACCUAGGCGACGAUCCCUAGCUGGUCUGAGAGGAUGACCAGCCACACUGGAACUGAGACACGGUCCAGACUCCUACGGGAGGCAGCAGUGGGGAAUAUUGCACAAUGGGCGCAAGCCUGAUGCAGCCAUGCCGCGUGUAUGAAGAAGGCCUUCGGGUUGUAAAGUACUUUCAGCGGGGAGGAAGGGAGUAAAGUUAAUACCUUUGCUCAUUGACGUUACCCGCAGAAGAAGCACCGGCUAACUCCGUGCCAGCAGCCGCGGUAAUACGGAGGGUGCAAGCGUUAAUCGGAAUUACUGGGCGUAAAGCGCACGCAGGCGGUUUGUUAAGUCAGAUGUGAAAUCCCCGGGCUCAACCUGGGAACUGCAUCUGAUACUGGCAAGCUUGAGUCUCGUAGAGGGGGGUAGAAUUCCAGGUGUAGCGGUGAAAUGCGUAGAUAUCUGGAGGAAUACCGGCGGCGAAGGCGGCCCCCUAGACGAAGACUGACGCUCAGGUGCGAAAGCGUGGGGAGCAUACAGGAUUAGAUACCCUGGUAGUCCACGCCGUAAACGAUGUCGACUUGGAGGUUGUGCCCUUGAGGCGUGGCUUCCGGAGCUAACGCGUUAAGUCGACCGCCUGGGGAGUACGGCCGCAAGGUUAAAACUCAAAUGAAUUGACGGGGGCCCGCACAAGCGGUGGAGCAUGUGGUUUAAUUCGAUGCAACGCGAAGAACCUUACCUGGUCUUGACAUCCACAGAACUUUCCAGAGAUGGAUUGGUGCCUUCGGGAACUGUGAGACAGGUGCUGCAUGGCUGUCGUCAGCUCGUGUUGUGAAAUGUUGGGUUAAGUCCCGCAACGAGCGCAACCCUUAUCCUUUGUUGCCAGCGGUCCGGCCGGGAACUCAAAGGAGACUGCCAGUGAUAAACUGGAGGAAGGUGGGGAUGACGUCAAGUCAUCAUGGCCCUUACGACCAGGGCUACACACGUGCUACAAUGGCGCAUACAAAGAGAAGCGACCUCGCGAGAGCAAGCGGACCUCAUAAAGUGCGUCGUAGUCCGGAUUGGAGUCUGCAACUCGACUCCAUGAAGUCGGAAUCGCUAGUAAUCGUGGAUCAGAAUGCCACGGUGAAUACGUUCCCGGGCCUUGUACACACCGCCCGUCACACCAUGGGAGUGGGUUGCAAAAGAAGUAGGUAGCUUAACCUUCGGGAGGGCGCUACCACUUU